UGAUCUGAAUUGUUCUAAGUUGGGGCCUUAGUGCUUCAUACCUGAACAUCCAAGGUCAUUUCCAUCCUUGCUUGGACCCUUUGUGAGUAUCCUUUCGUUCCUAGUUUAAUUAUUUAGUGGUUAUAGCCGUAAGGUCAAGCGUUUCGAUAAACGCUUUGACUUUUAAACGGCUAAGCCAUGGUUCGCAAUGAACAUGGCUACGUGACCGUAAUUAGGUAGGUAAUUAACCCUUAAAAGGGCGCCUCCUAAUUACCACGUUACUUAGUUUAAUUGUCGGGUCAACUUAAAGUCAAACGGGUUAGUUUUAAACAAAAUGCAUAACUAUUAAAUUAGAAGUCAUAAAAUCAGUUUUGCCACAUUAAUAACUUGGUAAAUAUUAGUUGAACAUGUCUAAGCAUGAUUCAACCCGACAAUUCUAAGUAUAGGCCCGGUUCGGAGCCGAAAGUCGCGAAAGUUGACUUUUGCUUUGACUUUCAGUUCUGACCCGAAUUAGACUUAUUUAGAUAUGCCUUAGGAUUCCUUUAGGAUCAUUUUAUAGGUUAGUGUAACCCUCUGAGGUUAUACAACCUGAAUCCUUAGUUAUCCUAUUCAUUUGCAAGUUUCCGUUAUAUGCCGAAUUGUUGACCGUUAUGCCCUUUUGACCUUAAAGCGAUAUUUUUGAAAUUGUGAGAGGAUAGAAACCUUCAUUACUGAAUUAUAAAGUUGUCCAUAAAAUCUGACAUCAGUUUGAGGUCCAAAUUAGGAGUUAUGCUCAAUAGCGUAAUUAGAAGCUUCUUUAGUAAUUAAAUAGCGUAAAUUGCAUAUAGCGUAUCUAAACCCAAAUUUUUGUAUAAAAAUUUAUACCUACUGUAUUAAAAUAAUAUUUUGGGAUUUUUAAAGAUUUUUAUUCAAUUUUAGGCUGAGCAUAACUUAGUGUUCUAAGCUUAAUUCGGCUAAUGACGGUUUUGCCCUUUUAAGCUAUAAAAUGAGUUUUAUAAAUCCGAUUGACCCCAAACCUUUUUCUACUGAUCUAAUAUGUUACAUAAAUUAUUUUGAGCCUUCUGGAAUUUUAAAAAUAUCAGCUUUUUAUAUAAAACCCGGAAAUGGCUCCAAAUCGCCUUUUUAAGCGUUUUUAACACAUAAGUAUGUGCUAGAACCAAUUUAAGCAUAUAAGGUUGAAACCUACUGAUGUAUUCAGUAAAAUUUUAUAUUUUAAAUAGUAGGAGAAUAUCUUAAGAUCAGAAUUCCAGUUUUGACCUUUUAAGCAUAUGUGAAAUUACCAAAACGCCCCUACGGUGUCUAGAAUGGUUAAGAUUGAUAAAUUUCGCAAUAGGAUCAAUAACCUACUGUUAUAACAUGGUAAAAUGAGUAGGUUUACUGAUUUGUUCAGACCUGUAACUCAGAAUGUCAUUUAAACCCUUUUACACCCUUUAAAGUGACCAAAAUGCCCUUAUGAGGCAUAGUUUGGGUUUAAAACCAUUUGGGGCAUAAUGGAAGGUAUCAUUCUGAUAUCACAACAUAUUUUUGGCAUAUUAACCUCGGAAACUUGUAUUUGACUCUUAUGGUUGCUCGUUACGCACUUUAUGCGUUCGGAUCGGCGUAGGUAACUAGUUUACCCAUUAUAGCCGAAACGGGUCAAACCAUAUCAUUUCGGUCUCAAAAUCCAGAAUGUGAUUAAGUUACCCAUAUUAAACAAGUAUGCAAGCUUGUUGGGUCAAAACCACAUUCUAAAAACGGUCUUCGCCUUAUCGUGCGUUUAAACCGUAAUCUUCAUUUAAGAACUAACCGGUCUAGGCUUAGGCCAAAUUAAAGACCCGUUAGAAAUCUAAUAGGUUAUUAAAAACCUUCGUUCCAGAUUUAGGAGCCCAGUAAAAGCUAUCUGUACUUGCUUGGUGGUAUACGACUGGGAUUAAAUUUAUAUUUAGCUCAGGUAAAUACGUUUAACUUAUUUUCCCUAUACGGGCUUGGGGUACGGUAUAUAAAAUACCGCUUGGUCGGGGAAUUGACCUUAACCGGUCUUGGUUAUGUGCAGUCAAAUUAACCCGUUUGAAAAUGCUGUUUUGUUUGUUUAACGCCUUUGGGGGCUUAAUGACCAUGUCCCGGAUAUCCUUGGCAUCAUUCAAAGAAUGGUCACGACCUUAGCACUCGGGUGUAGGCGUACACCCGUAGUGCUGUACAACAUGUAUAAUCGUCGGUACGAGAGAAGUCUCGCGGCGGAAUUAUAUUAAGUGGUGUGUCUAUUAAUCUUUAACCCGGCACGACCCGGGCUACCGAACGCAGAACGAACAUGUAAUUCUUUUACAAGAUUAUAGGCAAAUAAUUGUCCCAAGUUAUAAAAUGUUUUGUGCCUCGAGAUUCAAAUCAGUACUACGCGUAAUAGGCUGGUCUCUCCUAGCAUCAAAUAGAAGUCUCGCAAGCUUAGAUGCCUGAAGUGUGUUGAACAAUGUUUUAUUUUAUUUUGCGAUCCGCCUGUGGAUCUUUCACUUUCCGUUUGUAAUACUUGGAUAUUACUUCAUAUCGGAUUGUAAUAUAUUUUGCU
rnacentral:lncRNA from 1 species